rnacentral:rRNA from 1 species
AACGAACGCUGGCAGCAUGCCUAACACAUGCAAGUCGAACGAGACCUUCGGGUCUAGUGGCGCACGGGUGCGUAACGCGUGGGAACCUGCCCUUAGGUUCGGAAUAACUCCCCGAAAGGGGUGCUAAUACCGGAUAAUGUCUUCGGACCAAAGAUUUAUCGCCUUUGGAUGGGCCCGCGUUGGAUUAGCUAGUUGGUAGGGUAAAAGCCUACCAAGGCGACGAUCCAUAGCUGGUCUGAUAGGAUGAUCAGCCACACUGGGACUGAGACACGGCCCAGACUCCUACGGGAGGCAGCAGUGGGGAAUAUUGGACAAUGGGCGAAAGCCUGAUCCAGCAAUGCCGCGUGAGUGAUGAAGGCCUUAGGGUUGUAAAGCUCUUUUACCCGGGAUGAUAAUGACAGUACCGGGAGAAUAAGCUCCGGCUAACUCCGUG